rnacentral:rRNA from 1 species
AAAGAUGGACUCGCGUCCCAUUAGCUAGUUGGUAGGGUAAUGCCCUACCAAGGCGACGAUGGGUAGCCGGCCUGAGAGGGUGGCCGGCCACACUGGGACUGAGACACGGCCCAGACUCCUACGGGAGGCAGCAGUGGGGAAUUUUGCGCAAUGCUCGUAAGAGUGACGCAGCGACGCCGCGUGAAUGACGAAGGCCUUCGGGUCGUAAAGUUCUUUCGACAGGGAAGAAAAUGCCUAUAAGUAACUGUGUAUGUAUUGACGGUACCUGUAUAAGCAGCCCCGGCUAACUCCGUGCCAGCAGCCGCGGUAAUACGGAGGGGGCGAGCGUUGUUCGGAGUGACUGGGCGUAAAGAGCACGUAGGCGGUGUUGUAAGUCAUUAGUCAAAGACUAGAGCUCAACUUUAGUAAGGCUAGUGAUACUAUAAUACUAGAGUAUCAGAGAGGAUUGCAGAAUUCCUGGUGUAGCGGUGAAAUGCGUAGAUAUCAGGAGGAAUACCGUUAGCGAAGGCGGCAAUCUGGCUGGAAACUGACGCUGAGGUGCGAAAGCGUGGGUAGCAAACAGGAUUAGAUACCCUGGUAGUCCACG